rnacentral:snoRNA from 1 species
AUUCCAUGAUGAGGGCAUUCUAGGAUGUAAUCUUGAAAGUGCACCCAUGUUUCUCGGACUGACUCAUCAUGUUAUUGUUGAAAACUUGAUAUCUUCCCAUGAAGAGC